GUGCGUCCCCCAAGACCCCGAAACGAAAGCAAGGCGAGCAGCCCUCCCAGGCCCUGCUCCCCCAGCGGGGUCACCGUCCGCUCGCGAGGCCGGGGCACAGAGGCGCGCUGAGCCGACCGGCGCGUCCGAGCGGCGCGGCCACAGAUCACCCUCGCGACGCUGCAGCGGCGGGCGCGGGAGGAGGCCGCCACCCCGAGCCCCGCAGCCGGGCUUCCGCGUGCGGGCAGCGCCCCCUGCCCCGUCCGGAGCUCUCCGCCGCAGUGAUGGCGGCGACGGGGGCGGCGCAGCCGAGUCACCUGUGGGGCUUCUCACAACUCCACAGCCCCCUCCCCAAACCCUAGGUCACUCGUCCAGAGGAAGAAAAGAAGCAAUCUCAGCAGAUGCAGGGCCCGGCGCGCCGGUGGUGGAGUUUCCAAAAGCCCUACAGGUGAUGCCACCCCGACGCCCCGCGACGCUGGCCCUGGGUAGUCUCGACCCUCUCCGGCUCCGCAGCUUCCCCCGACCCCGCGGGACGGCCGGGGCUUCGGCGGCGAGACUUGGGAAAGUGUCCCCUGCUCUGCGCACCUCCCUCGCUGCGCGGACCGCGCGCUGGAUGCCAGAGCCACGAUGUGCUGGAAGAAAGGCAGAUUCCUCCCCGCUCCGUUUUCUGCCUUCAUUUGGGCUCCCUUCACCGAUCCACGGAAGGCGGUAGCCUCCUCGUCAUUCUCCCUGCCGUCCUUCAGGCAGCAGCCGUCCAGUCCAUACUGUCAGCCUUGGAGCCCGAAUGAUCUCUCCCAGUGCAGAUCUGAUCAGAUUCACUUUCCUGGGAUUUUAUCUUUUUUACAGUCUCCCCACUAUUUUCAAUAUGAAAUCUCAAGCUCCUUGCCCAAUCUGCAAGACUUGAUGAUUUGGGCCUUUCUUAUGCAAUUCUGAUGGCUUUCUCUCCUCUCCCCACUCCUCCCUAUGAUCCACACAUUUGGAACCACUGAAUUUGGAACUUUAAAUAGUCAUCAAUCCCUGUGACUCCCCUAAGAAUAUUUAUCCUCUACCCCUUUGAGGUUGAAGAAUCUGAGUUUCAAAUUACACAGCCGGAGACCCCUCCAGCCCCACUGAUAUGGGAUGUAGACAGAGGCAUUGGCCAAAGCCUGGAGAGACGCACACCCAGAGUCAGAGGGGAAAGAAGCAGAGUGAAGAACCUUUCUGAGAAGCCUGCUCAUCUGUAUGCUCCGAGAGCAGUGGAAGCCACAGCACAGGAAGCUUCAUUGGGAAGGGCCUUGUGAAUCAGUCCAGGCUCAUGGGCACAACUGUGAGCCUCGCUUAACCCAGGGCCCCCAUCCCAUUCCCUACUGUCCUUGCUUCUGUCCUGCUUGUGCAUGUGUGUCUGGAUGUGUGUGUGGUGUGCAUGCCCACACUGAAGAGGCAGAAGAGAUGAAGGUCCCUCUGCCCAUACCCAUUGGGAACUUAGCCCUGGGACUCUCUGCUCCCUCUCCCCUGAAGCUGCUUUGGAGUCCUCUCCCCCAGAUUGUUGGCAAAGCUGCUGAGCUUCUGAUUCAGUGACAUUUUACAGGAUCACUGUGUUCUCUCUUCAGAG
ensembl:lncRNA